UACCUGGUAGAUUUCUCUUCUCUCCAAAACUUCUAUUUUUCAUCAUUGUAUGAAUUUUAUCUGUUCGUUCAUCAAUAAAAGACAACUUCUCCUGCACAUUCUCUGUUCGCUGAUCAAUAGAGGACAACUUCUGCUCCAUAUUCUCAUGAAAUACGCUGUUCGCUCGUAACUCAUUCAAAAGACAUUCAUGUAAUUCGUGAACUUUCUCUGUAGGGAAAUCAUCCUCGCUCAUUUGACCAAUAGUAUCAACAAAAGCGAUAUCAACAUUAACUGCUGUUAAAGCGUUGGUUACCAAUUGUACAUAGUUAUCAAAAUCAGUUUUGACUAUUACUGGUUUUGGUGAAUGGCAAAGUGCGUUUCUCAAUAAUCGCAGUUGAUCAACUGCCAAGGCGUAGGUCUCAUCUUGAUUUCUUGUUAAGCUCUGGACUGAUGAAUGAAAAGAACCAGGAGGUGGUUUAACUUUCUUCAAAUAUAAAUCAUUCAAAGUUGAUCCCUUGCUUCCUGGAACACCAAAUGUUUUGGCAUAGAUUGUUGCUUUAAACAAAGCUGUGCAGUCCCACUCUUCAAUUGAUUUCGUAGUUGGUAUAUCUGUUUUACCACCUUCAGAUUUAAGAAGCAUGUUCCGUACUGUGAUACUGUCAUCCCAUGGAAUGAAUCCUGGUCUUACAGCAACCUUGCUGUCCCACAUGGCGAUAAAAAUUUGACGCAACACCUUGGGAAACUCAUCAAGAACAAGUGUAGAAAACUUAAAGAAAUUCAAUUGUUCCUUCGAAAAUGGUUUCACUGCCAUCGUGAAGCAAAAUCUAGGCCAUUUAAUAUCUUUCUGUGCG